UGCGGUAAGGGAAAAAAGGAACCAAAACCAUAAAUGGAAGAGGAGUAGGAAAAUCUCAACAUGCGGUUGUAUAUCGUUUCUUUAAUUUGUUGUUGUUGUUGUGUUCUUAUUUGUUUUAGAUUCUCUUGAUUAGAAUCAGU
rnacentral:ribozyme from 1 species